ensembl:rRNA 5S_rRNA 5S ribosomal RNA
GUCUAUGGCCAUACCACCCUGAACGUGCCCAAUCUCGUCUGAUCUUGGAAGCUAAGCAGGGUCGGGCCUGGUUAGUACUUGGAUGGGAGACCACCUGGAACUACCGGGUGCUGUAGGCU